UACGGAGGGUGCAAGCGUUAAUCGGAAUUACUGGGCGUAAAGCGCACGCAGGUGGCUGAGUCAGUCGAUUGUGAAAGCCCUGGGCUUAACCUGGGAAUUGCAGUCGAUACUACUCAGCUAGAGUAUGGGAGAGGGCAGUGGAAUUCCCGGUGUAGCGGUGAAGUGCGUAGAUAUCGGGAGGAACAUCAGUGGCGAAGGCGGCUGCCUGGCCCAAUACUGACACUCAGGUGCGACAGCGUGGGGAGCAAACAGG
rnacentral:rRNA from 1 species